CCCCCACCCGAAUCUGUCGACGACAGCAGCAAUUUGUCUUCACACUACAGCGACGACGAGGAAUGCAACCCGUCAAAGCUCGGAGGCGAUGUGUGAACUCUCCCCGGAAGGUGUGCAAGAAUAAACGACCAGUGUGUGCUGCGGUAAUAAAGAUGUGGGGGGACCACUUCUGGAUGGGAAAUGAGCUAUAAUUGAGAAGCAGGGAGAAAAUCCCCCAAAAAUACAUCAAACAACAAAAAAAAAAUCCAUUUAGACUCCUACUCGCCCUCGAAUACGUCGCGAGGAUGCUGCGAAGGUGUUUGCAGUGUAGGCGAGAGCCAAUCGGAUCAGAGCUUCACCACGUUUCUAACUGUGGUAGAUAAAAACGAUUUCGUUAAAGAAGCCCGCAGCUGAUGUGGAUCGUGGAUGUGGAAGAUCACGUUGAGUUAAUCAGUUUGUCAUUUUGAAAAAGGUCCCGUGGCCUUUCUGUGCGUAGCUAUUCACGGCAUCCAUGUCCCCAGAUGUGGGGUCUUUAAAAGCCCUUUCAGUCAUGUAUUUGGAAAACGAGCCUGGGGAACAUUUAAGCAACUUUUUAGGCGGAUUUGAGCUGUGGGCUCAGCUGUGUUCAGCGAGCAGGAGAGAAUUUCACAUUCAGUCGGCAAAUAUAAAAACAACAUGGUUAACAUGUUUUUGUAUUUACCAUAUUAUGAAGUGAGAUUUACUGUUAUUUUUAUACUCAAUGCACUGACAAGCUUAAAACCCGAUCACCGGGCGUUAUGUGCUGGGUGCACAGAACCUAAAACUAAAGACCUUCUGGUUUUAAAGUGCACCCCUCUGUAUUUCAGCUUUGUUUUCUCUUGGAUUCAAUCAACCGUGCUCGCCAUUUUAGACUAGAUGGGUGUAAUGGGGUAAUUUGAAAAGAGUUUGGGUUAAUCCGAUGGACACAAUCGCAUUUAGACCCUGAUGCAGUCAUUCUUGUUAGCCCACACAGCUGAAAAUAAAAAUAAAUCCAUUAGAAGAUAUUGGGUUUUCAAAUGGGCCGAUGUAAUGGUUUGGCUGAAGGCGCUGUUGUGGCGGAUGUUACGUGUGGUCAUUCUGGGCCGUGUUGUCUUUUCCAAACCACCUUAUUUUAACGGCUAAAAUGCCGUCCAGGAUGAAGGGUCUUGUUUCCAACACGCACGGCUAAUAUUGCAUCGUCCCUGCCCCUCGGGGCCACUAAUGACAUCCGGAUGGACCAGCUCGGACCGCAGGGGUGCGGUAACAUCCCAGUGAUCCACCGACCCUCACGUGCAGGCCAAAAGAACACACGAAGCACGCGUGUGUCAAAUCCCCCCCACGUUCGGAUCUAAGCGGGAACCCCCGUUCAAUCCCUAACUGCUCGGUGAUGAUGAGUCCUGACUGGGCUCAUAACCCCUGCGAGCACCUGCUGCAAUAACAGGACUAUUACCAUUACCAACACCGUCAGCCUAAUGGCUUCAGCGCUACGUGGUUAUAAAAUUGCCUCCAAAUGCACCGAUGAAUGCGGCUUGAGGUCACAGCUCGCUCACGCAAAGUCCGCAGUACGCGGCCGUCGCGCGGCGAGCCGGGGAGGAGCUCAGUGGACAGAGAUGAUUAAAGCCCUGGGGCCUCAUUACAGAAGAAAAAAACACCCUAAAUGAUUUUCUCAUCUUAACUUAAGUUCCAAAGAUAAGAGGAAGUGUAUGCCUUAUCCUACCUCAGAACUCCUAUCCUAAGAUGUCCUCACUAUAACUGCAAAUGUAAUCCUUUAAUUAGCACUUGUCCUCUCGUGUCCAUGUUGACGAUAUACUAGUGGGCUCUCAAUUAUCUCUGUGCUUAUGAGAAUGUUACCGUCUCUCAAUCCAAUCAUACGGUGAUGAGAUCACACAAGAUAUUGCGAGGCACAAUUGUGUUAUUAAGUUAUAAUAACAAGCAGAAACCAGAGCAAAUUUCUUCGACCACAAUUCAUGAUAAUUCUGCUAGUUGGAUUACCCAAAUGCAUUGGAAUCAAACAACUGUCUUCAUCUCAUUGCUCUGAAUGUGUGCGCAUGGAAACGCAUUUAUUCAGAAAUGUCACUAGUGAAUAUUCAUUUUGCACUGAAGGUCUAAUCCAAAUAAGAACAUGUGACUGAACACUUCAGACUAUAUCACCCAGACCUAGUCAGAGGCACCACUGGUGUCAUUUGGAGAGGAAUUCAAGCUUUUUCGGCAGUUAUCUUCUCGAUAGCCCCUCUCCAUAGCAGGCGGAUCAAAUUCAAAAUGAAUCCUAUUGGAAAAAGGUAAAGUGUCAUCAUUCUGUUUAAGGUGCAUUUUAAAAGCGGUGUUUUAGUGUUCGGGUUGUUCCCCCUUUUCAUUUCCAUUGCCAUACAGACCGACCAGCAGUGCUGCUGCCAUUUUUGGAAAUUACUUUCAAUUCGGUGCCACCCUAGUGGAGGAUUCCGCACUUGGAGUAUCCUUAAAUCAGUUAACAGCUAAACUCCUAUCUUAAAAACAACCACAGGAUUUUUCUGCAUGUUUCCGUAAAACAGAAUGUCGCCCGCAAACCGAGCUAUGGAAUUCCAGAUCAUUUGAGAAAACAGCCGCGUAAGGCCGCACAACAGUGAGAGCGUUUUGUUCCUCAGGUGGCCCGCCGCUCCGUGUCAUCCCACCUUGUUAGAGACUCAUCACCGAGUCCCCCAGACGGUUGGCCCAGACGUAUUGGGUGGCAUCUCCUAACUGCACAGUUAACUCACUCCGCACAGGUCCAAUUACAGGUGAAUCUAAUCCUAGAUUAGACAAUAUGCAACUAGUCUUUGUUUACAAGGCUCAGGCAAAAAGUGAUACUGAUCUGGAAAGAUUCAAUUUGAAAGCCCCAGACGGGACCGCCCUGCCUCACCGCUCCGAUCGACAGCAUUCGCUUUGCAUUCACUUUGAGGAAAUUGGAAUAUCAUUGACUUGCUGGAAAGCGGCAGAGAAGAGAGAAAUAGGUGCGAUGCACUUUUUCUACUUCACUGACCCUGUGCUUGGCAAUAAGGAGAUGUAACUGAUGCGUUAAAGCGGCUUGGUUUGACUUGUGAAAUCUAGUAGGUCCACCGCGCUGAUCUGUUUUGGCAUUUUUUUUGCCAUUUCCUGGCCCGAAUGUCACAUUAUGACAGCGACAAAAGAUGCUUCUUCGGUAAGAACUGUUUUGCUCACAUCUGGACACAUUAACUCUGGGAGCUGACGGUCUGCUUGCCUGCUGAUCUGUGCAUCAUUUGCUCUCAGGGCAUUAUAAUGUGAAAAAAAAACAUCCCAUAACAAUGGCAGGUGUCCACGGCAGCAUUGCUGUCCAAUGCGUUUAGCAGGAAAACCACACUUUGUAUCGAGAAAAAAAGAGAUUACGUUUUCAAAUGCCGACAUUUGUUAAUGUUAAUGUGGUUCACAACACAGGAAAUGCAAGAAACAUUUUAAGGGAGGUUCCUAUCAGCACUGGAUUUAAAAAUAUACAUAUUCAUGGUCAUGAUUGGUAUGUGAUUUAAAAGACAGAAUAACCAUUUAUUAAACAAAGCAGAAACGUUCCCUGUUUUCCAUCCGUCAGUAAAUUGAAUGUCACCGUUACUUCUUUUCUUUUGCCACAGUGUUGUCCGUCAAUAUGAUCUUCCCUGUGCCUCCCUUUUCAUUCCUGUGCAAUAAAGGGCACUCGAACAUCCUCAAAGCAUAUACACAGGCGUGUUUACUCCGCACACAAGGUCACACCAAGCGCACGCACAAAGACACAACUGUCCCACUCUUAUGCACUCUGUCCACGCCCGAUCAAUAAAAUAAAUAGAAAAGGGAUCCUUGUAAAUCUACUAGCAAAACAAUUUAUAUUUUCUUUUUGUGCACACGCCAAAGCAACAAAAGGAAAAUAGGCAGUGGACAAUUCAAAAAGGGGGCUUUUAUAUCAUCGGGACCUGAAGCACGUGCGUGCUCACCUCUGUCCCAUACGAAGAGGCUUCCCUUCCCGAAUAUUUGGAGAAGCCUGUCUGCUCUCAAUCCCUCCGACGAGAACCCGACACCAUGUAUCCCUCCACACUCCUGGCAUUUGUAACAUUUCAUCACAACCUUGGCAGGUUGUUUGGCACGAGCCUCGCCCUCCACCUCGCCAUCAUACCUCUCUCGACACUGUGAGCGCACACACACACACACACACACACACAGCACUAAUGCAGCAGCAGUGUCAUCUGGCCCUUUGAGCAUGACUUCACUCAAGGCUCUUUAGCGGCGGCCAGCCGAAGGGGCCACCGGGGAAAGAAUGUGUGCUGUCACGCACGUCUGAAAAUCUUUGAUCGCAUCCAUAUGUGUUUAAACAUUCAUACGCGGCCAUUAGCUUGUGGUAAGUUGGCCUUUAAAAGGAAAACACAUGGGCAGGGCAGGGGAUUCUCCGCCCGCUGCUUUGAGCGUGCCGCGGUACAUUUUCCAGGGACCAUCGAAUUAGAUUAGAUCCCGACAGUAUUGAUGGUUGAAAGUCCAGCCUGUCAAGAAGUAAGAAGUGCAUGUUUAUUUAUGUAUGCGGGCGGACCGUCCUCCUUCCUUCAGGAAGACAGACUUUGUACUUUCCCCUGCGACAGACAUUAGUGUAUAGUGCACUCUAAUGGCUUAUAUAGAUGGGAAUACCCACAGCUGAUAAUGGUCCGCCAUUUCCCCCCCGUCUCCUGAAGGGCAGUGCCGAUCUGCGACCUGCUCCAUUCCUUGGAUUUGAUUGACAGGCUGUCAGACAGCUGACGUGACACGUCAUUUAUUGGUUAUUUGCACUUUUCCGAUCAUUAUGUAUUAUCUGAAAAAAACAUUUGAUUCAUGGUGACAGAAGAGGAAGAUCCCAAGCUGAUAUUUGAUUUACGGUUGCUGUUUUAUAUGUUUUUGUCAAUAUAAUACCUGUUUAAAUUAAGAUGUCAACACUGAUAGUAGUGCUCGCUGAUGCCACUAAGCCACUGCUCCGUUCUGGGGCAUUUCUAACAGAUCUGAAAAAGCAUUUAGGUGUGUGACAGAUGAUUAGAUUUAUUUGAAUUGGUAACACGAUGUAUAAUAUUAAUCUUAAGUGUUGGGUGGUUAUAAUCUUUUCAUUUUCAGGGUGGUGUUGAUGCUGAGUGGUAGAGCAGCUAAAAUCACUCUGAUGUCCAUUUAUGCUUUAGGCGUGCUUGAUGUCCUUAUCCAGAGAUAUAAGUGUAACACUGAGACGAGCUUAAAUCCACACAUCUCCAAGAUGACUAAUUAGUAUGGAACUAAAUGUGCCACAGUCCACAGCACAGACACGUCAGAUAACAAUGAGAGCAGGGAAGAAAAGCUAGAAAAAUACAGACGAGGCGUAGAGAGAAAUUAAAGGGAUUUGAAUGCGGGCCGGCGAGAGUCAGCGGGGAAAAGGUGACAGUGAAUCACCAUUUAUCAUGGAUGUCAAUUAAUGGUCUCUAAGCUUUUUGAAAUUGAAUUCAAUUUCAAUUAACUCAAUUUGAUGCAGAAAAUACAUUUGAAUUAAACGUAGAAAAAGGUUUCCAAUCCAAUUGGAUCUGAGAGUGAACGCGGCCCCUGGUUGGAGAAGCCCAUAUAAUUUAUCCAUGCUGAGGGUUAUUCCUUAAACAGACAUGCAAGCACACACACACACACACACACACACUAUUCCAGUUAUACUGAAGAGCGCUUGCAGUGCUUGAAGGUCACAUUCAAUAAUGAAUUCAGUGGAAUAGUGACAAUUAUACACACAAACUGCUCAGGCACACCUACACACGCGCGAGCACGUGAGUAUGUGCGCACGCACGAGCGCACCCACCCACACAUGCGCGGUUCCCCCGACUCCCUUCACUCCAGUGCAACGAUGAUUGGGUCUCUCCACUGGACUGGCUCCACUCCCGCUCUGCCAUUCCACUCAGCACAGUGAGAAAUCACCUAGUCAGUCUAGGACUAUUACAGAGUAAUUGGCCUUUUAAAGAGGGGCUCCACCAUGUGAAACAGUGUAACUGAGAAUGAUACUCUGCUUGCUCCGUUCCCCCAUUUUGUCCUCCAUUCCCUUACAUUGCUCUCCUGGUCCCGGCUUUCACCUCUCGCUGUACUCUUUUUCUCUUUCCGUGCCGGCUGCGUUGCGAUGUGUCUCUCCUUCCCUCGACACUGUGUUCCUGUUGCACCCACGUCUCCCGCUGACUCCUGUUGACCUGUAAAAGCUGACGGCUGGAGCCGCCUGUGGUACCACUUUCAGCACUGGACAGCUCCUCGGCCGGACAGGCCGGCUUUGUUUUGGAGAGAAGAGCAAGACGAGGCUGCAGAGCAGCGAUUGGGUGAGCGAUGCUUUGCCAAAAGAAGUAGCGAUGAGAGCUGCGUUAAUUAAAUUGUCCUCACCUAAAUAGCCCACCCAAACAAUACGACACUCCCAUAGCUGGAAGCAGGUAGUUUACAAAAGAUGAAUCGUGGCGACAGCACGAGAACUGUGCAGUAUAAACUAGGACAUUUUUAUUUAAACACCCGAUUGGCUUUUAAUCAACAACAUGUACAUGCACAACACAUGUUAGCAGGUUGAUUUCUAGACACAGAUAUGUAAUAGUUGUAGGAGGCAUUGAAUUUAUAGGGGUACCGAAUAAUAUGGACUUUUAUGAAAUGACUGACACAUAUAUUUGAUUUACAAUUACCUAAGAUGGAUGAAACCGCAAAAAACGCUCUUCUGUGAAGCUGGAAAUAUUAAUGAAUAAUUCCUCAAAAAUAGUUACGGUGGGACUAUUUCUAUACAACCACUACAAUUUGACAGCUCUGUAACAUAAACUGGGUCUAGAAGAAGAAUAGUAGUGGUCUCUUUUUAGGAGGUAUAUCGGUAAUACGUUUUGCAAUGAACAAUCUCAAGCUUUCACAUGAAUGAUUUCACCAUGAAGCUGUUGAGUACAGUUUGUUUUGUAGAAAACACAGUCAGGUUUCACUACUUUCACAUUAAAAAUACAAUGAGGAAAGAGCACCGAAUAGCUGAGCAUCUAUGUGUCAUCUGAUAUCUGCUAACAAAGCGGGGUUAAAAUCUCAAAUCCAAUUAAAUAAUUGGCAACUCACACUCUGACUCCAGCCGCUGAGACACAUAUCUUCAUUAAUAUUUAGGUACGCUGUUAUGAACAACAAUUAAUUAUAAGAGGUAUUAGCAUACGAUUUCUGCUGGGGCAUCGCGGGUUAGUGCGUGCGUGUGUGUUCACGGGAAUCUUAAGGGAGGGAGGAAGGAGAAAAGAAAUAAACAGUGGGAACGGGUCAAGCAUCUAACAAACAUCAGUACAUUAACACAGUGUUUGGCUUGGAGAGAGGCAGGGACGUCUGGAGAGAUGAACUACAAACUUCUCAGCACAAAGUUCCUCAUUUAGAAAAAAAAAAAAAAAAAAAGGUGGUAGGAUUUCCAUUUGGAGGUUUGGAGACCCAGAAGCACUCGAGAGGGCAGACCCUGGGUCUGACCCGCGGUACACUGCUGGGGAACACAUUUCCCAGCAGGACCAAGGGCCGUGCACACCUCAAACCCCCCCUCCGCCCCCCACCUGGUAUACACGCUGCAGAGUGGCUGCUCCGCUUGCCAUGUUGUCACGGUGACCCUGACCUGCACAUGUAACGGAUGGCUGUAGAAUGUGAUGUGGCGUUGUGGAGUCGAAUUGAGGUUGCACAACUGAGAGGUCCGAGGUGUGUCAAGCGAUCCCAUGUGGGCUGCCAUAUACGCUGUGUUGAAUGUUGGUUGUUAAGACGGGACGGGCCGCGCAGGGCCGGAUGGAAAAAUGGGAUCGGCGUGAACUUUUUGGGGGGGAGAGACACUAGCAGGUGCUUCUACAUCCAAAAGAGGGGCCAUAUACACACAUAGGACAUGAUACCAAGGAUAGACAGUAACGGGUUGUAGCAAGGUCAAGAGCUUUCAGUGCAAGUGUACAGAUGGACAGACGGUUAAGCCCCCCCCCCCCCCACCCUCCUCCUCCCUUAAACCUCUCUGCCCCUCCCCUCCCAACACACACUCCCCUAUUCAUUUGUCUCUUGCUAAUCUACCGUCACUCUCCGUCACAAUGAGUAGAAGGGGAAGCUUUGGACGAGGACAGCUACCCCUCAGCAAAAAAAAAAACACGUUCAUGCUUCCAGCCAGAGACGAAGACAUAGGAAGAGGAGAAAGCGAGGUCCACUUCUCUGAACCAGAGAGCGAGAGAUAGAAGAAAGCGCAAGAGAGCAGUAAUACGUUUUCAUCUGAAAUAUUAAAGCCACUGCAUUAAUCUGUCUUCCCUCUCCCUGGGGUGCUGGUGAAGGCUCCCGCUGUCCUAGAGUUGCCUGGAAAAAGGACAGAGGAUGGCCACCUCACCUCCUCCUCCUCCUGCCAGCGCCGGCUCUCCACCUCUCCGCUCAUAAUGGCCAUUAAAGUGUUUGUGUGGGAGUGGGCCGUGUGCUGAAGGUUUUCUGAAAUGGCCGCUAUCGGCUGUGAGGACUGUGCGGACGAGCUCAAAAAAACAAGGGAAAAUGCCUCAAUUAUCUUUUAUUUUUCCUCCAUAUUUUCAAAGCAUUAAGGAAUAAUUAAUAGUGUAUACAUCUUUAGGACAAAAAUGAAAUGAACAGACAGCCGUUUUGAUGAGUCAUCUGUAGUCAUUUGUCAUAUUAAAUACGUUUUAUAUUAUUAAGCAGUAGUUGCAGUAGUAUUGGUCGGUAGACAUUCAUAGGGAGUUUGACAUUUUAAAAUGUUUUGAAAGCCAUAAUGGAUACUAUUUUCUUAUAAUUCACAACUAUUUUUUGAGAAAAUAACAGUUAAUUUCACUCUUUUCCUUUUGAAAAAUGGACUCAGCCCAUGUGACAUGGCCAAGUGCACUGAUUAAUACAUCAGUUUUAUUCAACCUACACUGCUACCAGCGCAGUGGAAAAGUUAACAUUCUUCUUAAUAGAUUUAAUUAAUAGACUGAUGCUAAUGAUUGAUCUCCUCGGCCGGAUGUCCAUCAAAGCCUCCGUGCUUUUAACACCUCCCCUAAAUGUUCUGCUGGCACCUCACGGAGGUGGUGGCACCCAUCGAGCCUUUAUCUAGGCCACCACAUCCACAGCUGGACCCAUCUGGCCUUGCUAUCUCCUCUCUCUGUCUCUGCACAUACACACAUGUCAUCCAUCAAGUACACAGACACGCACACACACACACACGCACACACACCAGCUGUUAUGGAUUACAGUCGACCAAGAAAGGGUGUGUUUUCUGACUCAUGCCCAGUGUUUGAUGGAGCUGCCCUGGAUGUGACCUAACACAAAAGCACUGGUUUGAUUAUUAGUACAUACUGUAAUAAUGCAUGCUUUAGAUGUACACUAGUGAUGAAUGAGAUGGGACGUCUAGAUUGAACCCACAGGCUUUGGUCGCAUGGUAAAUAAAGGAUAUCACGAUGUUCUGAGGGACUCCAUCUCUUGUGGUCCAAUAUCCGACAACGUAAAACUCUCUCAAGCCCUCUGACGAAGAGGAACGCAUGAAUAAUGCCCUGUGCUUGGUUUCCUUUUCUGAUCAAUCCCUGACGUGCGGCCACUCUGAGAAAUAUGGGUUCGAAUCAAGCUGUUUUUUCUAUCUAAACCUCCCUCCACGCAUCGAUCUUACAUACCGGCCCUUCAAUCCACCCACUAGCCGAGCUCGGCUUAAUCUUCCUUAUUCUCUGUGGCGCCUGAGCGCAGGGCCUCCUCUGGUCUCGGAGUCGUUACCGAUAUUCGCCCAGAUCAUCUGGUUAAGCCAAGGGAUCGGUCUUAAACCUCCUGAACUGUUGGCAGACUCACACGGGCCGCCCUGAUAAUCUUAAACAAGUUGAAUAAUUAGGAGCUAAACUCUGGAUUGAUUAUGUCAGGGCUCUACAAGCGGGAUGUCAAUAGCCAAUGAAGGAGACGAGCCCGCGUAGCUGAUUGUGUUUCCAGGCAACAGUAACACUUUUAGCUCUAGGCUAACGUUAGCUAGCAUCGGAGUCAUCAGAAAUGGCCGGUGAUGUCUCCCCAUUUCUUUUCUGAAGAAUAGACGCCACAUAGACCGCUUCGUCCAACAGCAUUUCCCAUCCAGACACGUUUCGCAUCUUUUUCUUUAUUUCCUCGCAAAGCUUUACUGCAGCGAGGUGCCGCACGACGUCGGCCUCCGAAUUUGUUUGCGUCCGCUUCCCCGCGAGCUCCGGAGAGGUGGCGCGUUGCUACCUGUGGUGCAAUAGUCUCAUUAAUAUUCCUCCGCGUGCAACGCGUCAUCAUUGUCAAAUCUCGUAGUGUGUGCGAGCCCGAGAUUAGAGAGAAGCGCGUCAGUGAAGUUUCUACUCAUUUUGCGUGACGCAAGCCGGUAGUCUGAGCCCGCGGCUUUACCCGACACACACACACACACACACACACUCCAAAAACUGUAAAACAGACAAGUUAAGAGCAACAACAUGCAAAAUAGUCACUUGUGUACCGAGCUGAGGCUUUAAAGCUUAAGCCCCGACGAGGGGGGAGCGGGCGAGACCGUCCGACGGAGGCAGCAGCCCCAAUUGCCUCCACGCGGCCGUAAAAUAAAAUAUUCCAUCAUAUCCCUGAAGCAUCCCCGUCUCCAGCUGGGAUCAAAGAGCACACUCUGACGCCGGCAGUGUCUCGCCUUGCGCCGCGACCAAACCCUUCACUCCGCUCCAUUAAUAGCAAUCACGGAAAAAUAGAUGUAAUGGUUCUUCAGAGUCCUCGAGAAUAGGUACAUGACGCGAGGAGACGCAAGCGGCACUGCGGUAAGCGGGGCGGGGGGGGGGUGGGGGGGGGUAAGUGGGGGGUGCCAUUUGUAUGUUUCUGCUGAACGCUCGGCAUUCAUAAGAUCAGAGCGGAUUCGUCGUCUCGCUGUGGUUGUACUCCUUUCAGGCUGUCUGUGACAGGUGUUUUAUAGGGAGGAGUGCUGUUGUUGUGAAUGUCCUAUCAAUGAUUCAAUGCAGCACAUCAGAUGGAAGGGGGAGCGACGGAGAGAGAGAUGUCUCCUGCCUGGAUGUUCGGAGGGGGGGGGGGUUACAAUAUAUAAUUCACUGGGUUGUCUGACAGGCCGGGUGUGAAUGUGAUUUUUUUUUCUUGUGGUGGAACUCAGUGCUUCUAAACCGUAGAUCUCAUUGAUCACUUUGCGCAUUAUAACACACGGGCGAAAGUCUUUUUAUGAUCUCACUCUUUGAUCCACGCACCUCGCUAAAGAGAGGCGGUGCCGCCCGCGCGCGUCACGCUCAUUUUCCAGGCAACGCUAAUUGACAGGCGGCUCCUCCAUCUAGUUUGCGGCACAGCAGGGGGGCCGCACGUGCGGCGACUUGCCGCUCGCGCCGGCUCAAUCAACCCGGCUGCGAGCGAUGGAAUUGUCCACGAGUGCCACGAGCGAUGGAAAACAUCUGGUACACUUCAAAUCGGGAGGCCACAACAAUUUUCGGCACUGGCAGGCGUUAACACUGUCAACACACUGUUCCCGUCGGCGUUGCCAACACACACAUUCGCGAUCCACAAGUGGCAACUGUGAAAAAAAUCCAGAGGGCCAAUUCAAUUGCGUAUGUGGUUGUGUUAAUCGGCGAGCUUGGGCAACAAAUCCAUAGAACAGAGCCAUGUAAGAUGGGAGAUUAGGGGAAUAUGAAACGCACUCUGGAGUGAGGGCUUUUGUCUUGUUAUCUUCAGGAAUGAGUUGACAUUAUCCCCAUGGAUAAAGUUUUACCGUGCAUGGAUUACACACAUGAGACAAGCUGCACGCACCCCCCGGGCCAGAUAACACGAGAGGACCUCAGUCGACCCCCCCCCCGUCCCCACCGCUCCCGCUACCCAUCAAUGCCACGAUCCGCUUCGCCUCGGCCCAACGGCGUCUGCUGUAACUUUUUUUCUACUCCUCCUUAAGAAUAUCUGGGAUCAACGAUCAACAAUCCAUAUCGCUAUAUUGAUGUUUUCAUAGUGAGAAACAUGUUUUAUCCUCACACCCUACAGAUCAUAAUAAUGAGACAUAAAGCAGUUGAACGCUCCCAGACUUGUUGAAUGGUUCAAAGGCAGCUGAAAAAGCCAAAUUCGCUGCCUCCACUGGGAAUCGUACUCCACAGUUUGGGAGCAAAAGAGUUCAAAAGAAGCUGCAAAGCUUCUCGACAACUUCACAAGAUCAGCAGCAAUCACAGCAGGGAAAGGCGGCGGACAAAACAAACAUCCACAGAGCGUGCCGCUCCGCGGCUUCUUAAAGCUUUAUGUAAAAGUACCUUCAGAUUAGCUCCUAAUGACACGUGGAGCCAGUGUUCUUCCACACGCGCUGCUGGAAUAGCUCUUUGCACCACUUGAAUGACUGCAAAGGAAUCAUCUAAAUUUAAAAAGGAGUUACUUUGGACGUUACUAAGAAGGUUAGCUGUUCAUAAAGAAUCGAAACAACAGCAGUUUUGAUCGUUUUCAGGAUAUUAUCAGCGCCAUUGUUAAAGUCAUGCCUAAACGAUCUACUGGGAAGACGGCACAUGGGGGGGGGGGUUCUGAGGAAGGAAAACCUUCUGUUUCUCCGUCAUUUAAUAGGAACAGGAAAAGACUCGUGUGAACAGACUCGAUUGUGUGAGGCAGAGUGGUCAUGGAAGGCAAUGACUUAGCAUGUCACUUCUAUGCGCCGUUACGGUGCAGAAUGAUAUGGAGAACUCAAGGAUUUCAGAGGCCUAAAUGAAAACCAUCACAACUCAUAAUAAUGAAACAGUCUUGAUCCCUUAUCAUAAUUUCCUCAGGAAUUCUUGCAGGGAGUGGUGACAGUAGGUAAUACGCCAUGAUUAACGAUACUCUUAUCUCUUCCGGUGCACUCCUAAGAUAAGGGCUCUCAUUGGAUGCUAUUCAUAUAUCCAGCAAUGUGACCGACAAUGGAAGAACCAAAAAAAACAAAAGAAAAAGGACACACUAAGUAUAGUGGCAUGAAAGAUGGCGGGAGGGAGGUAAGAGUGAGAGAGAGCGGUGACCUCCAUCUCCACCUCCACCUCCACCUCGGCACGCCACAACAAGCCUCUCCAUCUCGCCCGGGCACAUUUCUCUGUCAGCGAAGGGUGGCGGCGGGCCACGGCGUCGCCGUGAAUCAAGCCGGCUGCUCAGAGACCUUCCGCCAAUCCGUCCGGUUCCCGCGGGCUCGUCGUUGGGGCCCCCGGGCGCUGACGCGGUCGAACGGGCGGCGGUUGAGCAAUCGCCUCCCGCGCGCGCCGGGGCGCCUUCUCUCGGUUUGAGAGCUGUUGGGGUUGUUUCCAGGCCAGAGAGUGACUCAGUUAUUUUUUUUAAAAGGGAAUAAAAUGUCACAUUAACGCAAACGUAUACCGUUUAAUAAUCUUACACACUGUGCUCUUCGUUCAUAACCCUUUCGAGGGCUUUUAGCAUGUUGCUUUAAAAGGGUACGUGGGUCAUAAAUAUGUUUUUAGAACAGUUAAUGAAGGCUUUAUGUGGCCACUGCAGCUGUAAUCCCUCCAAAAUGGGACAAUAUAUCCAGCAGAAUAGCAAAGGACUCAAGCUCCAUAAUACCUAAAUCACACAUGGCACUGCAGUUGCGUUGCCCCUUGCAAUCUCUUGAAAAAAAAAAAAAAGCUCCGCUAUUCAUCGCAUCCUACCAAAAACCGCCUCCCUCUCCCUACACGACACCCCCGACUCUCAUCCUUCUCCUUUUUCCGCAUUAUUCGUUUCGCAAAUUGAUAAUGGAACCAGAGACCCCGCAGGGUCCGUAAUUCAAUAUAGGGAUCUAACGGUCUCAGAUCAGAUAUGAUGGACUGUAAUCCUCUCUGCGCUGCCACAGCCACGUGCACUUCCAUAUCUCAGCGCAGCUUAAAGCGACCGGAAAGUCAGCGCCUUCUCGACGCGUGAACGAACGAGCGCAACGGGCGAAGGAGUGGGGGCGACCGAACUAACGAGUGGUGUUUUUCUUGUCCGUUUUCUUUUUUUUUUUUUUUACAAGAAGGCCAAAAGUAUCCAUUUCUAAGACACCAAAUCGCACCGUGGCAGACUUGUGGCUAAGUGGGCAUGACAGCAUGUGAUUAAAGAGAGUGAAUUAGCGAGUGCUCCCCGUGCGCGCACACAUCACCAAACACGGUCUUAUUCUCUACUCUCCAUUUCUUCCAAAUCGGAGAAGAUGUAAAGUGGGGGGAGUCGUGCUCGGAGACAGUAAUGAUCCACCUGUUUACUUUCAAUUAGUAUUAUUUCUUCCCUUAGGCGAAGAACACCUUUAUUUAUUCUCGGGAACAUUAGUAGCUCUGCAGGGGAGGCUUCUGGAUGCAUUUAUGAAACGAGAUGAGCAGAGAGGAGCCAAAAGCUGCACGCACGCCUUUAUUGAUUUUUUUAAUAUGAGGGACAAUGAGGAUUUGGUGCCUUUGCCUCGCGUGCAGGUCAACCGUCUCUGCACACUGACUGCAGCGAUCAGUCGGCCACUGGCCGGUAGUCAGAUGGCCGGGGCGACCGUCCGAUCGCUCUCACGUAUCCGACGCCGCGGCUUCCCGCUGCUCCGCACAGCGGCGGGCGGUGGAUUUCCAGUGGAGUCCUUCGGUCAUUAGACCACUCAGCCCGGGACAUCUCCAGCACUUUGUGAAAGAGAAGCUUCAUCAAUUAUUCACACUUCCGGGAACGCACAUGUUUCUCUUCCCAUACAUUAAUAUUUCAGCCCCGCCCCUCCCUCUUCAGAAGGUCUGCCACCUCCAGGUGGACAUUUUGUCUAAAUAAAUCACGGUGACACGAGGAAGCACUAAGAUGGCCUGAGUCAGGCUUCCCUGUGAGAGGCCCCCCCACCCCCUACCCUGACCGCUGGGAGCCAAAUGUCACUCAAAAGCUUCAGAUAAACAUAACAAGAUGUCUAUUAGAGCAGCAACACGACGACAGUGUCCCCCUACGCCCGCACGUGCAUGCAGUACGUGGCCAUUCUUCUCGUGGAUACGUCCAAUAGGAGAGACGGUCGCUGCGUGUUCCUUCUUAGUAUCUUUAAGGUCGUGCGGGUGCUUGUGCUUGUUUACUGAGCCAAUUUCCCCCGCAGAGCUCUUGGUCCCAAGCCUUUCACCCCCCCUCCCCUCUCACUCCCCCAACCGCCCCUGAGGUGCUUCAAGUUUUCAAAAGGUUACGGUUAGGACCGUGGUUAAGGGUCUACAAGAGGCCGGAAUAUGAACACAGCCCGAGAGUGUUGCUGAAGAGGUUCAACUUGAGGAUCCGAUGUCCUUUGUGCGAAGGGAGGAUUACAUGCAGCAACAAGCCAAGGCUGCACUCUUGGAUGUUGUACAGUAGACUCCCCACGGGACCGCUGAGCCAACGUGACACAUUUUGGGAGCAGUUUCAGCCUUGUGUGUCCAAACCUUUUUGCUCAGGUUUACCUGUCAGCGGCAGCUGCUUUCACUUCAGCCUGCCGCCAAAGAAAGACGACUACAGCAGUAGUUCAUUCUUUUCAAUGAAUCGAUGCAUUGUUUUGUAUACAAAAAGAAGAAAAAAAUCCAAGAUCCCAAUGACGUACGACAUGAACACAAAACCACUGAAAUUAAACUUAUGAAAAUAAUGUGUUAUUUGCUCUUCCCAAAAAGGGAAGUUAUGGUGCCGUAAAAUGUAUAUCUAGUAUAAUGUGAUACGCUACAUAACGCACUGAUUUACCGAGCUCGCUGUCUCCGUUCUGUAGGAUCACAGAGACGUUGCGGUGGGACAGGUGUGAAGUGAAAGCCUUGGAAACUCAAAUAUGUAUAAUACCUUGGGGGCAAUCUGCAUGCAAAUGAGGUGGAUAAUAAUAGAAGUAGUAGUAGUAGCAGAUAUAUAAUAAAUGUCUGGCCAAGCCUCAUUCACUCAGCUGUGAUGAGCCUUUACCUUGCAGCUGGAUCUCUACAUCUGGAGCACACUCUCAGGCUUUUUGACAGUCUUCACCCCUAAGAAGUCCGUCUCUUGUAUUAAACACGCCCCAUUUCGGCCCCUUCUGCUCUCUCUCUCUCUCUCUCUUUCCCCCUCAUUGAUUCUGUGAGGUUCAGCGGAUGGAGCGCGCCACUUGCGAUGGGAAGGCCGUGGGAUCAAUUCCAACCAAAUUUCAAGCAUUCGCCCAGCUGUCACUCUGGGAUAAUUUGUCUGAAUGCUCACCCCUUCUGUACACACUGAUGUAUUCAGCUUUGUAAUUGGUGCCCAUCAGUGUCAAGUGUCUCUGCGAGCUCAAUAUUCAGGACCAACACUGCAGAAUGCCGCAGUGCAAUGAGCAUAGUGUGUACACACAUACACACUCACACACACACACUGAUGAAUCCCAGAGAUGCCAACAGAAUACAGCAAGGAUAGUUGUUUAUUUUUUGUACUAUUGCUGGUAUGAAAAUAUUCAUGGAGACACUUUGCUGAAUUCCCGAUUCGAUUUAAAUAAGUAAGCCACUUAAAUGCGGUUUCGGCGUAGCGUGGUCGGUAGUUGGGCCGGACAGGUGUUUCCCAAGAGCGAAAUAAUCCUCAUCAUUGGGACUGACAGCUCCCAGCACCAACUCAACACUGCUAUUACUCAAUGUGUGUUCAUCAAACCGGUGGCAUCGAGCUGGUCGUCCCGAGGCUCACGAGGAGACGGAAAAAAGAAAAAAGCAGUCGGGGGGUCAAAUUGGUCUCUAAUAAGUGUGCGCCUGAAAUGAUAAAAAGCCGAGGCACAAGAGCUCGCUUUCCGACCAGGAAGACGUUUGUAAAUCGGUGCAGCUGCGGACACACACACACACACACACACACACACACGCUGCGCCGAAGCCGCCCUGCUCGGGCCGGCCUGGGCGAACAAGCGGAGCGUGUCUCAGGAGAGACAGAGGGGCCUCAGAGGCAGCCCGGAAAAUCUGAGCCUGACCUCUCUGGAGAGGGAGCAAGAGAGGCAAACUGGAUUUUUAGAUAUUUCUCUCUCUCUCUCUCUCUUUUUUUUAAUCCCUGCCUUACACGCCUCACUGGUCCUCCUGCGGUACGACGUGGGGGCAUAAUGUAAAGUCAGGGGGAAAAAAAAAACACAAAAACAACAACAACAGGGGCUUGCGUGUCAGGAGAGAACAUCCACGUCUGCUCCUAUUCACCGUGACACGAGUGAAAACGGGACACAGUAUCCCACUGGCUUUUGACCCACAGUUGUAUGUAGGACAGCAUCUUAUUCAGAGCCAAAUGCCAUUUUGUUCCUCGCCCCUCUCUGUUCGAGAGGGAGUCUAUCGUCCCCCCCUCGCCACCCGUGACGCAUCUGCUCGACGUCAAUUUCGAAUCUGCGUUUCUCCGUUGGUGGAAAGAAGUCGC
ensembl:lncRNA